rnacentral:sRNA from 1 species
GAUCUGGCUACAGCAUCUGUCACCUCAUUGAUCACCAGGGUUGAUUUGGUUGAUCUGUGCAUUCCGGCUGAAGCUGCAUACUU